AUGGACCGAGAUUGCUUUAAUUUGGUCGUACGGAAGAUUAUGUUUGAUGACAUCCAAAUGGCACAAAAAACAAAACAAUUGAUAGACAAACAUUAUCUCGACAUGAAAUUUUGGACUUGCUUGCUGGUGGCUGGUGCCCUGCAGGGACCAGGUGGUGCCGUCGGCCGCGGCGCCGCCGCCACCGUUCGUUGCAGCAGCUAG
rnacentral:rRNA from 1 species